UCGGGAAUUUUGGGCAAUGGGCGAAAGCCUGACCCAGCAACGCCGCGUGAAGGAUGAAGUAUUUCGGUAUGUAAACUUCGUAAGAAUGGGAAGAAUAAAUGACGGUACCAUUUGUAAGGUCCGGCUAACUACGUGCCAGCAGCCGCGGUAAUACGUAGGGACCAAGCGUUGUUCGGAUUUACUGGGCGUAAAGGGUGCGUAGGCGGCGCGUCAAGUCAGUUGUGAAAUCUUAAGGCUUAACCUUAAACGGUCAACUGAUACUGUCGUGCUAGAGUGCAGAAAGGGCAAUCGGAAUUCUUGGUGUAGCGGUGAAAUGCGUAGAUAUCAAGAGGAACACCUGAGGCGAAGGCGGGUUGCUUGGCUGACACUGACGCUGAGGCACGAAAGCUAGGGUAGCAAA
rnacentral:rRNA from 1 species